rnacentral:rRNA from 1 species
UACGUAGGGUGCGAGCGUUGUCCGGAAUUAUUGGGCGUAAAGAGCUCGUAGGCGGUUUGUUGCGUCGGCCGUGAAAACCUGCAGCUUAACUGUGGGCCUGCGGCCGAUACGGGCAGACUUGAGUUCGGUAGGGGAGACUGGAAUUCCUGGUGUAGCGGUGAAAUGCGCAGAUAUCAGGAGGAACACCGGUGGCGAAGGCAGGUCUCUGGGCUGACACUGACGCUCAUGCACGAAAGCGUGGGGAGCAAACAGG